rnacentral:tRNA from 1 species
GGGCCCGUAGCUCAGCGGUAGAGCUGGCGGCUCAUAACCGCUUGGUCCUAGGUUCGAAUCCUAGCGGGCCCACCA